rnacentral:SRP_RNA from 1 species
CAUUGGUUCUCUCGCGACGAGAAGCUGUGAAUCCCGCCAGGCCCGGAAGGGAGCAACGGUAACAGUGGAUUCGGGCGCUGGGAUGUGGCUAGUGUGG